rnacentral:rRNA from 1 species
UACGGUGGAUGCGAGCGUUAUCCGGAUUUAUUGGGUUUAAAGGGUGCGCAGGCGGCACGGCAAGCCGGCGGUCAAAUCGCGGGGCUCAACCCCGCCCAGCCGUCGGAACUGCCGGGCUAGAGUGGGCGAGAAGUGCGCGGAAUGCGUGGUGUAGCGGUGAAAUGCAUAGAUAUCACGCAGAACUCCGAUUGCGAAGGCAGCGCACCGGCGCCCUACUGACGCUCAGGCACGAAAGCGUGGGUAUCGAACAGG